AAAAACAUUUUAGCCCUGCUUUGUGUAACAGAAAGAUACUAUGUGAGACACAGCGCUCCUGCAAGCAGCUUUGUCUGAAGCAGAAAUAAGAACAAGAACCGGGACGUCUGACUGAGUGCUGUAGGUGACCACAGAUAUUGCUGAAGGACCUGCUUUCUACUGCUUUCGGCGUUUAACUUCCUUGUGGGGUCAGCAGCAUGUCUUCCGCCGAGUGUACCUCAAGACUUCUCCUGGUCCUCACUUCACUGCUGCUGGUGCUGCCAGUGGUUGAAGCCAUGGACGCAGGAGAUACAAUUGCCUUCCUGCUGGGCCUCGCUGUCAGUGUCAUUGGAUUCUGUGCCUGCCUUGGCUUGUAUGCCAGGAAAAGAAAUGGACAGCAAUGAUUUCAAGAAGAUGCUCAAAUGAAAUGCGUUUCCUAACAUUGCUUGGGGUUGAGGUCUGGGAUUUAAAACUGUGCUUCAAUUCUGGAUAACUUUUGAAAACUUGUAGUAGAUAAUCCUGCAAACCCUCUUACUGUGCAAUACAACAGAUCAAGACCGUACUCAGUAGAAGGGAUUUGUAGGAUCUGUCAUCAUGACAGUAAGAUGAUUUUACAUUGCUUGUGAUUAAAUAAUGCCUUAGAGAAGGGUGAGAACUGUUUGAAUGGGGGAGGAGAACCAGAGUGGUUCACAGUAAACAAUGAUAAAUGGAAUGUAUGAGGGAGACCUUCAACAAGUUUUGCAAUUUUGGUUUCAGGGGUUCAUCAGGAGAAAGCAGCUAUUAGUCUUCCAGUCAGGAUGACAGAGCUUUGGAAAUACCUCUGAUGAGAUAAGUAGCGUGCAGACUGCUUUGACAUGAGUACAUGUGCUCACAUGGUUUGCAAUGACAGCACCUAGCAGCUCACUUCCACUGUUACAGGGACGAGGGGAGAACUAAGAAAACAUGGAAAACUUUUGUCUAUUUAUUUUUAUUUUAGAAUGUGCCUCUUCUGUAGCCUGUGUUCUUGUUACCAGAAUGGGAUAGCUUUUUUUUUUUUUUACUUCAACAUGUAAAGCUGUGUGAAUCAAGUAGGGAGUAUGUUUUGUUGCCACUUCUUUAUUUUCAGCACUCCGUUUUCAUUUAAGCAUGCUGAGUAAAGUGUUGUGUUUUGGUUUGGUUUGGUUUUUUGUUUGCUUUUUCCAAAAAUGAAGAUUUAGCUAUUUUAGUGUGGAAUUAUAUGUAGUGUUUCUAAAUUAGGCAGUUAUUAAAUUUUAUCAGGACAAUUGUGCAUAUUUCUUUUGCAAUAUUGAAACAACUUGUUUUGUUAAAAUCCUGGGUUUAGUAGACAAAUCUGUUAUUCUUGAAUGUCCUCCUCAUGAUAAACUCAGUGUUGUUAGUUAAGUAUUUAGGCUUCUUUUCUCACUGAUACCUAAGAGUUCCACAGAAUAGGACCAAAAACAAAGUAAAAAUUUUUGAUGCAAAAUUCUAUUCAUGCUCAGUCAAACAGUGUGUUAUAUGGUUGAAAGAAUCUACUCAAUAGCAGAUCUAGAACCCAUUUCUUUCUUUUCGUAGCAGUGUGGAAAUGACACAGCUGAGAAUGUCGACCACAAAGCCCUCAGGCUUAUGAGGAUGUUCUCACUGUCAUCUUAGUUGAAGGAGCACAUGAAAGCAAAUAAAUAACAGCAGGAAAGAAAAAAAAGCAGCAGAAUAAGCAGCGGAGGAAGGUGAACUCUGUGCAGUUCACAGAAUUUUGUUCUGAUCUUGUGCUGUUGGCACUGCCACUCUUGGUAGAAAUCUCGUCUUUUAUCUUUCAAAGUUGGAGAGAAAAGGUGAAAUGUGAUGCAAAGUUAUGUAUGUUGAUACUGUUCCUCCCCUUUCUCUGUUAGUGUCUCUGUUUAGUAGAGCACAAAGCAAUGACUGGAAUUGCAAAAUAGGUUUUACGUAAAUAAUUGGAUGGGCAGAUCAUGUUCUACCAAUUCUAAGAUUCCUAUAUUCCAUGUACCAUAUGUGGCUGUUUUGACUUCUGUCUGUUCAGAAGCUGGAGAGAGAAGUCCAGUUUAUUUCAGUCUCAUAAUUGUGUCUGUCUCAUGGUUAAUGGAGGAAGGUAUAAUGAAAGUAUCCAAAAUACUGUGGGGUUGAAACUGGGAUUCAGCCCAGCAAGCCACAUUAAUCUUAGUUUCUGCUCUCAAACUACUGGAAUUACAAUGGUCCCAAAGUUGCUCUGCUGAAAUGCAAGCCUUGCCAAGUAGCUCUUCUCGUACCCCUUUUUUGGCUUCCAAAGGCCACAGUGGGACAGCCCUAAAAUGAGCUGUGAAUAGUAGUGUCACCUUCAAAGUUCAGUAUGUGAUUUUUCAACUGAGUGUGUGCAAGCACGCAUCAUGUGUGAUUUGCAUUCAGGCUUGGCUAAACUAUUAUUACCCUUACAAACAACAAAACACCUGACAACUCAGUACGCUUUGCAUUGCCCCACAUUUGAGAAGUCUGCCACUUUUUCAGUAGAAUAUUAAAUAAUGCUUUCAAUAGUAGAAAUUUUAUCACAAGCAGCUUUUCUCAGACUCCUUCAUCAUCAAUUUGGAACAGAUAUGAGAUCCCUGGCAACAGUUUCACGGGAUUGUGCAACACUUUCACUGUAGGAGUACAACAUUUUGGUGGAAUAAUUAGCAUUGGGCUAUAGAGAAAUGAGGAACUGUGUUCUUUGCCUGAAGCUGUAUGUACUUCAUUGAAAGGUGUUUGCACAGCAUAAUGGUAUUGUUUCCUGGGUUCUGACAGAAGCUUUAUUGUUGAAGACUUGCAUUUGUCAAUUACUUAAAUGUAAAAUUUGAUAUCCCUGUUUUUCUUCUGCUUUAAUAAACUUUCACAUAUGAUUUGUUAUCAGUCUGAUGAAGUAAUUUUUAUGAAGAGGAAAACAGAGAUGACAGAAAUGACUGAAACUGCUGAAAAUGCUUAUAUUAAAUAUUUUCUUAGGUACUUUUGCUUAUGUUAGAUGACCUUGCACACUCAGGUAAAAGAUCCUUUCCGUUUUGUUAAAAUAUGUGUACCUCUCUUUGUCCUAUUACUGGUAUGCAUGAAAUCUAAUGUCAAUAUUCUAGUAUAUCUAAUUUCAGUAUUAGUCAUUUGAGAGCACUUCACAGGGGCUCAUCUUACCUUGAAUCUAAAAGCUUGCAGUUGUGCAGGAGCCUGUUUCUCUGGUACAAGGGAGACUUGAA
ensembl:lncRNA